CGCGGCCUAUCAGCUUGUUGGUGGGUUAAUGGCCUACCAAGGCGUCGACGGGUAGCCGGCCUGAGAGGGUGUACGGCCACAUUGGGACUGAGAUACGGCCCAGACUCCUACGGGAGGCAGCAGUGGGGAAUAUUGCACAAUGGGCGCAAGCCUGAUGCAGCGACGCCGCGUGGGGGAUGACGGCCUUCGGGUUGUAAACUCCUUUCGCCAAGGACGAAGCUUUAAGUGACGGUACUUGGAGAAGAAGCACCGGCUAACUACGUGCCAGCAGCCGCGGUAAUACGUAGGGUGCGAGCGUUGUCCGGAAUUACUGGGCGUAAAGAGCUCGUAGGUGGUUUGUCGCGUCGUUUGUGGAAUACCGGGGCUUAACUUCGGGGUUGCAGGCGAUACGGGCAUAACUUGAGUGCUGUAGGGGAGACUGGAAUUCCUGGUGUAGCGGUGGAAUGCGCAGAUAUCAGGAGGAACACCGAUGGCGAAGGCAGGUCUCUGGGCCGCAACUGACGCUGAGGAGCGAAAGCAUGGGGAGCGAACAGGAUUAGAUACCCUGGUAGUCCAUGCCGUAAACGUUGGGCACUAGGUGUGGGGCUCAUUCCACGAGUUCCGUGCCGCAGCUAACGCAUUAAGUGCCCCGCCUGGGGAGUACGG
rnacentral:rRNA from 1 species